CGUACCUUUUGUAUAAUGGGUCAGCGACUUAUAUUCUGUAGCAAGGUUAACCGAAUAGGGGAGCCGAAGGGAAACCGAGUCUUAACUGGGCGUUAAGUUGCAGGGUAUAGACCCGAAACCCGGUGAUCUAGCCAUGGGCAGGUUGAAGGUUGGGUAACACUAACUGGAGGACCGAACCGACUAAUGUUGAAAAAUUAGCGGAUGACUUGUGGCUGGGGGUGAAAGGCCAAUCAAACCGGGAGAUAGCUGGUUCUCCCCGAAAGCUAUUUAGGUAGCGCCUCGUGAAUUCAUCUCCGGGGGUAGAGCACUGUUUCGGCAAGGGGGUCAUCCCGACUUACCAACCCGAUGCAAACUGCGAAUACCGGAGAAUGUUAUCACGGGAGACACACGGCGGGUGCUAACGUCCGUCGUGAAGAGGGAAACAACCCAGACCGCCAGCUAAGGUCCCAAAGUCAUGGUUAAGUGGGAAACGAUGUGGGAAGGCCCAGACAGCCAGGAUGUUGGCUUAGAAGCAGCCAUCAUUUAAAGAAAGCGUAAUAGCUCACUGGUCGAGUCGGCCUGCGCGGAAGAUGUAACGGGGCUAAACCAUGCACCGAAGCUGCGGCAGCGACGCUUAUGCGUUGUUGGGUAGGGGAGCGUUCUGUAAGCCUGCGAAGGUGUGCUGUGAGGCAUGCUGGAGGUAUCAGAAGUGCGAAUGCUGACAUAAGUAACGAUAAAGCGGGUGAAAAGCCCGCUCGCCGGAAGACCAAGGGUUCCUGUCCAACGUUAAUCGGGGCAGGGUGAGUCGACCCCUAAGGCGAGGCCGAAAGGCGUAGUCGAUGGGAAACAGGUUAAUAUUCCUGUACUUGGUGUUACUGCGAAGGGGGGACGGAGAAGGCUAUGUUGGCCGGGCGACGGUUGUCCCGGUUUAAGCGUGUAGGCUGGUUUUCCAGGCAAAUCCGGAAAAUCAAGGCUGAGGCGUGAUGACGAGGCACUACGGUGCUGAAGCAACAAAUGCCCUGCUUCCAGGAAAAGCCUCUAAGCAUCAGGUAACAUCAAAUCGUACCCCAAACCGACACAGGUGGUCAGGUAGAGAAUACCAAGGCGCUUGAGAGAACUCGGGUGAAGGAACUAGGCAAAAUGGUGCCGUAACUUCGGGAGAAGGCACGCUGAUAUGUAGGUGAAGUCCCUCGCGGAUGGAGCUGAAAUCAGUCGAAGAUACCAGCUGGCUGCAACUGUUUAUUAAAAACACAGCACUGUGCAAACACGAAAGUGGACGUAUACGGUGUGACGCC
rnacentral:rRNA from 1 species